rnacentral:rRNA from 1 species
CCCUUAGAUGUCCUGGGCUGCACGCGCGCUACACUGAUGUGUCCAGUAAGCACCUAACCUCUUCCGAAAGGAACGGGUAACCUUUGCAAAGCACAUCGUGAUGGGGAUAGAUUAUUGCAAUUAUUAGUCUUGAACGAGGAAUUCCUAGUAAGCACAAGUCAUCAGCUUGUGUUGAUUACGUCCCUGCCCUUUGUACACACCGCCCGUCGCUACUGCCAACUGAGAUGGGUCCUGAAUUGUUAGGAACGCCCGUCAAGGGGCCUACCCGGUCCCUAGUGCGGUGACGAGAAUAACUGUAAAUGGCAUAUCUUGUAGGGAGUAAAAGUCGUAACA